rnacentral:rRNA from 1 species
UACGGAGGGUGCGAGCGUUGUCCGGAAUCAUUGGGCGUAAAGGGCGCGUAGGUGGCCCCUCAAGCGUGCGGUGAAAGUCAGGGGCUCAACCCCUGAUCGGCCGUGCGAACUGGGGAGCUUGAGCACUGUAGAGGCAGGCGGAAUUCCGGGUGUAGCGGUGGAAUGCGUAGAGAUCCGGAAGAACACCGGUGGCGAAGGCGGCCUGCUGGGCUGACACUGACGCUCAUGCACGAAAGCGUGGGGAGCAAACAGG